GAUGAACGCUGGCGGCGUGCCUAAUACAUGCAAGUCGAGCGAACAGACGAUGAUCUUGCUCCUCUGACGUUAGCGGCGGACGGGUGAGUAACACGUGGAUAACCUACCUAUAAUACUGGGAUAACUUCGGGAAACCGGAGCUAAUACCGUAUAAUCUAUUGAACCGCAUGGGUCAAUAGUGAAAUACGGUUUUGCUGUCACUUAUAGAGGGAUCCGGGCCGCAUUAUGUAGUUGGGAAGUUAACGGCUUACCAAGGCAACGAUGCGUAGCCGACCUGAGAGGGGGAUCGGCCACACUGGAACUGAGACACGGUCCAGACGCCUACGGGAGGCCGAAGUAGGGAAUCUUCCGCACUGUGCGAAAGCCUGACGGAGCAACGCCGCGUGAGUGAUGCAGGGCCUCGGAUCGUAAAACGCUGUUAUUAGGGAAGACCAAAUGUGUAAGUAACUAUGCACGUCUUGACGGUACCUAAUCAGAAAGCCACGGCUAACUACGG
rnacentral:rRNA from 1 species